UACGAAGGGGGCUAGCGUUGCUCGGAAUUACUGGGCGUAAAGGGAGCGUAGGCGGACAGUUAAGUCAGAGGUGAAAGCCCAGGGCUCAACCUUGGAAUUGCCUUUGAUACUGACUGUCUUGAGUAUGGGAGAGGUAAGUGGAACUGCGAGUGUAGAGGUGAAAUUCGUAGAUAUUCGCAAGAACACCAGUGGCGAAGGCGGCUUACUGGUCCGGUUCUGACGCUGAGGCGCGAAAGCGUGGGGAGCAAACAGG
rnacentral:rRNA from 1 species